rnacentral:misc_RNA from 1 species
AUCAAACUGAGAAAGCUCAUAACCAUGGUAUCAAGAAGCAAAAUGCAUGGGAGAAGACAUUAAGGCUUCUCAUUCUCUUUUAGUCAAAGCGGUAGGCGAGGAUCAAAAUGAUAGUUAGCCAACACUUUUCACCCUUAGGGAUCUCUCUUCCUUGUCAAGCUCCAUCUCCCAGCUUUUCAAAGACACCCUCCCACAAUGACAUGCUAGCAACAAAACACACAAACAGAU